ensembl:rRNA 5S_rRNA 5S ribosomal RNA
GUCUACGGCCGUGCUACCCUGAAUGUACCCGAUUUCAUCUGUUCUUGGAAGCUAAGCAGGGUCGAGCCUGGUUAGUACUAGGAUGGGAGACUGCCUAGGAAUACCAGGUGCUGUAGGUG